rnacentral:rRNA from 1 species
CCUACGGGAGGCUGCAGUAGGGAAUCUUCCACAAUGGGCGAAAGCCUGAUGGAGCAACGCCGCGUGGGUGAAGAAGGUCUUCGGAUCGUAAAACCCUGUUGUUAGAGAAGAAAGUGCGUGAGAGUAACUGUUCACGUUUCGACGGUAUCUAACCAGAAAGCCACGGCUAACUACGUGCCAGCAGCCGCGGUAAUACGUAGGUGGCAAGCGUUAUCCGGAUUUAUUGGGCGUAAAGGGAACGCAGGCGGUCUUUUAAGUCUGAUGUGAAAGCCUUCGGCUUAACCGGAGUAGUGCAUUGGAAACUGGGAGACUUGAGUGCAGAAGAGGAGAGUGGAACUCCAUGUGUAGCGGUGAAAUGCGUAGAUAUAUGGAAGAACACCAGUGGCGAAAGCGGCGCGCUGGUCUGUAACUGACGCUGAGGUUCGAAAGCGUGGGUAGCAAACAGGAGUAGAUACCCCUGUAGUC